CCAAAUAACGCUUGUAACAUCCACAGCUCGACAUAAACGACUUCUAGGGUGUGAUCGGCGCCUCUAACCCCUCUCAGCCUUUGGGCUCUACGAAGCGCCAGGAGCCGGAGGGACGCGGGGAGGAACAUGGGGCAGGGCGGUCCGGAGCGACCGCGGCCUCUUAGGCUGCCCAGCCCCGCCCCUUCCGCGCUCUCGGACCCGCGUCCCGGGCCUCCAGUGCCCAGCAUCCCGCAUCUCGCAUGCAGCAUCCAUCCUCCGGCGCCGCUCCGUGUGGUCUGCCAGGCGAAGCAGAAGCUCAGGCGCAGGGAUGGUCGCUGGCUAAGGGCCCCUGAAAACAGCCCUAGGCCCUCCAGGCUCAAGUGUGCCACCCCAAGCGUGCCACGGGGUGGCGGGUGGGGAGUGGGGGCGAGCUCCCUGGGUGACAGGCAUAGGGAAUCUGGAAAUCAGGCCACGGGAUGAAGGGGAGCGACUGAAGAAUGGAACCCACGCCUGCUCGGAGGAGUCCACGAUCCUCAAAGCCGCCAGCCUUCUAGAAGGCUGUCCUCUCAGGCCCGGGUCUCCCUCCCGCGGCCACAGAAACCAUCUGCCCUUUGCGGGACACCUGAGGCCCGGGGCGGAGCCUAGGGUUCCAGCUGGCAGCGGUAACACCUGCACUCCUGGACCUGAAACAGUGUGUCCAGAGGGAAGGAAACCCGCAGGCUGUGAAGAUCGCGCUGGACAUCUUGGGUCUUCCUCCCAAACGUAUCCCUCUGAUCUAACCUAAUCACACAGCUUACAAGAGGGCCAUCUGACAGCACACCUGACCAGUGUUUCUCAAAACUGCCAAGGUCGUCAAAACACAUGAAAGUCUGGGGAAACGUCACAGUCAAGAGGAGCCUAAGGAGACAAUGACAAUUAAAGGAUCAUCAACCAGCAUGAGAGAUCCCAGAACCAGAGGAGACUCACCUAAAUUUGUCUGGACCCUCCAAGAAGGUAGAUGGGUACAAGAGGCCUCUGCUGGUACCAAGGCUCCAGUUCUUAGAAGAGGUGAAGCAAAGCAAAAUAAAGACUAUAAGAGUUGACUCAUUGGAAAAGACUCUGAUGCUGGGAGAGAUUGGGGGCAGGAAGAAAAGGGGACGACAGAGGAUGAGAUGGCCGGAUGACAUCACCGACUCGAUGGACGUGGGUUUGAGUGAACUCCAGGAGAUUGUGAUGGACAGGGAGGCCUGGUCUGCUGCGAUUCAUGGGGUCGCAAAGAGUAGGACACGACUGAGCGACUGAACCGAACUGAACUCAACUGAAAAACUAUAACCCAGGAGCAGUUUCUCAGAGGUGUCUGAAGUGCUGUCUGUCCGGCUAUAGUCUUGACAUUUUACUCCAAAUAAAAGUUAACUUACAACUCUCACACCGUGCUUUUUUGUUCUUAAGUCGGCACUAUCAAACAAUUUUGAACAGUAAUGACUAACGUACUUUAAAAAGAGUUUGUGUAGCAUUUAGAAUCAGCACAGGUGCAUCGUAUUAGCAGUUUAUACGCACCCCUUUCCCCAUUCCUAUCAAGGAUGCUCAGCCCUCGGCUUUGCCACUGGAAGAAGUGGCUGUGGAAUGCUGUCUUAUUUACAUAUUUGAACCUUGAAUUCCAGAUUCAAAUCCCUAGUGGAAGAGUAGGGUGAUUUACUAAGGGGAGUUAGAUUCCCCCUCCCUGGCUCUCCUCAAAAAAGGUGCCACCAACGCUUUCCUGUCUGGUGGACAGGGAGACCUAUCUUAAUGUUUGUUAUCUCCCAGGAAGCAGUUAUUUAUGUGUCUCCAGGCCCACCUUUAGCUUCCCAGCCUGGCCCUGUGAGUACACAUGAGAGGCAACCACUUAAAAUUCACUCUCAAACCCCAAUAUUACCAGCCAGCAGCUUUUCAUUUGAAGCAGGUGAAGGGAUUGCUUCCUCUCUCCCACUAAGUAUGGCAGACU
ensembl:lncRNA